AGUGAACGCUGGCGGUAGGCCUAACACAUGCCAGUCGAACGGCAGCACAGUAAGAGCUUGCUCUUACGGGUGGCGAGUGGCGGACGGGUGCGGAAUACAUCGGAAUCUACUUUUUCGUGGGGGAUAACGUAGGGAAACUUACGCUAAUACCGCAUACGACCUACGGGUGAAAGCAGGGGAUCUUCGGACCUUGCGCGAUUGAAUGAGCCGAUGUCGGAUUAGCUAGUUGGCGGGGUAAAGGCCCACCAAGGCGACGAUCCGUAGCUGGUCUGAGAGGAUGAUCAGCCACACUGGAACUGAGACACGGUCCAGACUCCUACGGGAGGCAGCAGUGGGGAAUAUUGAACAAUGGGCGCAAGCCUGAUCCAGCCAUACCGCGUGAGUGAAGAAGGCCUUCGGGUUGUAAAGCCCUUUUGUUGGGAAAGAAAAGCAGCAGGUUAAUACCCCGCUGUUCUGACGGUACCCAAAGAAUAAGCACCGGCUAACUUCGUG
rnacentral:rRNA from 1 species